rnacentral:tRNA from 1 species
GCGGGUGGCGAAAUUGGUAGACGCACCAGGUUUAGGUCCUGACGGUAGCAAUACUGUGCGGGUUCGAGUCCCGCCCCGC